UGAGAUUUGACUCUGCGGGUAUCUAAACCUGUACUUUUGACCAGGUUAGGGGUCCAGCACAGUAGAAUUACAGGUGGGAAGGAGCGAUGGCAUUUUUGAGCUUAAUAAAAGGGAGCAUUAAUUUUUUUUUUAAGGCCACAAAUCUUUUACUAUAUUAUACAGCUUCCAGUGUAGCAAAUAACAGAAAUAAAGGUAAAUAAUACCUUGGAAAUUGGUCUCUAUAUCAUAGCCAAUGGUACAACAACAUAAGAAACACAAGGGAGGUUUUCUAAUGCUUUUUAUGACUAUAUUUAUAACACUUAAAAGCAGUUCAAACUAAGAUGAAAUGCAUAGAAAAAUUUAGGGCUAACAAAUGCCACCCUUUCUCUGCCUUGUUUGUAAUACAGUGCGCGUGUGCCCCGCUGUGGCUUCCACUGUACCACAAAUGACAGGCUUGUCAUUCCCUGUAACGGCUUACUAAGGGAAGUUAUGGAAUUCCUUCUCUGAUUCUACAAACAGUUUUUCAUCUGAUAGGGUGGCUUAAUAGUGGUCCUUUCUGAAAUUAGAUGAAUUGGCUGGAUGACCUUUCCAAGUUUCUCCUAAUCCUCAAAUAUGAGCUUUCUCUGCUUGUGACUGAUGAGAAGACACCAUCCUACAGGCCACCGUGUAUAAGAACAGAAAGUAAUGGAGCUGAGUAACGUACAGCAGUUACCUUACAAAUGCUGCUGACUGCCUGACCUUUGCCAUCCGUAUCUAACGCUCUUCCACUUUCCAAGCGCAGUUCACAGAUAAGGAGGCCGAGGGCACCACAAGAGAAUUACUGAAAAUAUAAGCAUGCAAGUGACUUUUAAUAUUAAAAUACUUUAUUAAAAUGAAGUGCACCCUAUCUAAUAACUUUAUAUGUAUGAAAAGAUAUAUAAAGUUAUUGGAUAGGAAGUAUUUCAUUAGUCUCUGCUUUUAAAAGCUUUCAACAACAGGUCUGCUGCUAGUCCUGGGGACAGGGCCCCACUGAGAACCCUUUUUUCCAGAAGAGGAAUCUGUUCCCGGACUGUGGGGUGGGUCCUGAAAUGUUCUACCACAUUUUCCUGAAUGAGGUUCCACAUCCAAACUUUCUGCUGCUUCUGUCUCUUGGCAGUCAGCUCCCCACUGGCAAGCAUCACAUCCUGGAAUUCUUUCAUUGUAUCCCACAUUUCAGUGAUCCCCUCUCCACUUCUGGCAGAAAUACGAAUUACCUGUUGAAAAGGGAAGAACCAGAACUAUUUUACUUAAAACGAUAGAAAACAUUGUCAUGGGGACUCUGGCAUUUGCCAAUUAAGUCUUACAGUCUAUGGCAAUAGGCAGGCGACAAAAAUGAGACAUUUUCUCAUCGUGUCAAAGUAGACACACUGAGAACUACACUAAGGUAACUUACUAAGGUUACUAAGUGCAAAGCAGAAAUAAGACACUGAUCCAAGGUCGUUAUUAUUUAGCUCAGAGGUUUAUUUUGACUGGGGAUUGCUCGAAUGGUCUUCAGAGACCACAGGGAUGAACUGGGAAAUGGUCACUAGGAUGAGAAGGGCAAUGCUACGUAGGUUUCCCUGAGGGCUGAGAGCCAGAAAAUGAAACCGAGCUGAGAGAGUAGCCCCAUUCCCUCCGUCAAAUUGCCUGGUUCAGCAGGUGCUACGAGCAUGGGUAUCUCCAGACGCAGCACAGACAACGUGCCGGGAGCCGACAGCAAGAAGUGUCACCGUUGCUCUCGUUAUAGUGAUUAUAGGUUACUCUUUAAUAACACAGGGCCCUGCUACAGAUAAAGCGUCCGCAUCAGUAUUUCUGCAUCACUUACUACGGGUUUUUUUUUUCCUUAUCGAAAACAUCACCCGACAACCAUAAUGGGAAGGAAAGUUACCACAUCAAAAGCCUGUUCUUUCCUACUCAAACUCUAACUAGAUACUCAAGUCAUUAAUUGCGCCAUAAUCUUCAGGAUGGUUCCUUGCAGAAUGGAUUUGUCAUCACAUCCAAAUGGCUCGAGCCAAGCAUUAAGCUAUCAAAUUUAUCGCCUCACAUCUAGUCUUUGGCCUCUGGUGGUUGAAGGAUUAUACUUAAAAUCGUAACUACACACUCUGUGGCUUUGCCACAGUUUUUAAAAUUAUAAUCUCAUCUACAAGCAAAGAUUGAUUAUAUGUCUAGCUUGGGACUCACAUCCUCUCUUCUAACGGGCACAGUCCACUCAGGGUGAAAACUGCAGAACAGAAUGCAAGCUGACCUUUGGUCUCCAGACUCCUGAACGCCUGCGGAGCAAUUUCAGCGCGCUCACAUACUCUGCUUGUAUCCUUCGAGCUGGCACGACCAAGUCUCCAUCAGAUUUGGUUAUAGCCACCAGAUCUGCCAUCUCAAUUAUACCUCUUUUAAUACCCUGGUGAGAAAAAGAAAAGAAAGUGAUUCGUCUAAAAUAUUUCAUGCCAUCAAAAAUGGGACACCAGUUACCGCUAAGGUUUGGAGAGUCAUACACUCUAACUUUUUCUCUGCACCCUCCCAAGCCCUGGGUCCUAGGAAUCACAAUUAUUGACAGAAAUUACUCAAAAGCACCGACUCUUGGGAUUAUGGAAGUCAUCUGUAAUAUCUCUUUCAAAUUUGGAGACUAACACGCUGAAAUACAUUCAGAAUUAGAGUAAAUAUAUCAUCCAGACACAAUAUGAUUGAAUGGCAGGAGACAGCUCACACUGCCUCAUGAUAGAUUCCACUUCUCGGGAGCUAACCCUGCAGGAUGCAAAACCAUCCAUCAUUCAGGUGCUUAAAAAAGAAAACACCUACGUCACUAACAUGUUCAUUUCCAGAAAGAGUCUUUGAAGUUUUCCUUAAAUGUAUGUAGCAUUUUUGUUUUGAUUUGCAUUUGAGGAAAAAAUAACCUGAUGGCUAAAAACGCCUCAAUCUCUUGAUUUAAAUUAUGUUGCGUGAAAACACAGAAAAAUCCUAAGGCCAAACCUUAUUUGGAAAAUGAAGAUUUUGCUAUCUAAGAUUAAAAUUUCUUUUCAAAUAUUUUAAAACGUAACUUUCAGUGGUUAAAUUCUAAUAGUUAAUGUUUCUAAACUGCAGCAUCCAGAGUCUGAUGUCACUAGUUUUUCAGAAUUUUUCAGCUGAAGGGGAGGUGUUGUGUAAUAUAGAAUUUGGGGACUUCCCUGGUGGCGCGGUGGUUAAGAAUCCGCCUGCCAAUGCAGGCGACACGGGUUCAAGCCCUGGUCUGGGAAGGCCCCUCAUGCCGCGGAGCCACUAAGCCCGUGCACCACAACUACUGAGCCUGCGCUCUAGAGCCUGUGUGCCACAACUACGGAAGCCUAGAGCCUGUGUUCAGCAACAAGAGAAGCCACCACAAUGAGAAGCCCGCGCACCACAAUGAAGAGUAGCCCCCGCUCGUCACAACUAGAGAAAGCCCGUGAGCAGCAACGAAGACCCAACGCAGCCAAAAAUGAAUAAAUAAAUAUAAAAAUUUUUUAAAAAAAAGCAUUUAUCUGGUCUUUGUCCCAAGGUUCCUGGGAGGAAACUGCUAAAUCCUUGGAGUUUCCUGAGUGAUAGGAGUGACUUUGUUGUUUGCCAUGGGUACCUGGGACCAUGCCUGGGACCAUACCUGGGUUUAUGCAAGAUCACUCAGAAUGGGGGCUGAGCACACCAGUAGAACCAACCACGUGAUUAGAGGGUUGGGGCUUUGAGCCAUGCACUAGCAGCCUGACCUCCUCUGGGGAGGGCGGGGCUGGAGACUGACUUCAAUCACGUGGAUAGUGAUUUGGUCAAUCAGGCCUGCAUAAUAAAACCCCAACAAAAACUGCAGACACUGAAGCUCAGGAGCACUCCUUGGCUGGUGAAACACAUGCAUGUGCCAGAAGGGGAAUGUGUCCUGAGGACACGGAAGUUUCGAGUUUGGGACCCUUCCAGACCUCUCUCUCUGUGUCUCUUCAUUUGGCUGGUCCUGAUUUUCAUCCUUCAUAAUAAAACUCUAGCUGGUACCGCAGUGCUUCCCUGAAUUCCGUGAGUCAUCCUAGUGAACUGUCGCACCUGAGGGGUAAGUGGGAACCCGCACAUCUGCGGGUUCCCACAGAGGCAUGGGUGACUUGGGAACCCCCGGGCCUGCUGCUUGCGUCCGGAGUGAAAGCAGUCUUGGGAGGAUGAUGCCCUCAGCCUGUGCAGGCUGUGCUAAGUCCAGGGAGUUAAUGCCAGACUGCUGCAGGAGGAAAGGAAGAACCCUUUCUACAGUAUAUAAACUAGGACAGUGGGAUCCCAGUUAAAAGCAAAGGAAUAUCUCAUGAGGACCUUUCAACCAGCUGUAGCACAAACACCCAUGUAACAGUGGUCUCUUGGCUGGAGCUAUCCCCCACGUUACAGGUGGAAAGACUAAGUUGUGUCAUUAGCUCAAGGUCAUAAGUUCUACUACUAUAAGUUGGAAAAAAAAAAAUAGAGAGUUUGCCUUUGACUCGGGUAUUUUAGCCAAUGUGAAUGAUGUUUCUUUCCCUACGCUAAUAUCAACUUAAUUUACAAAAAACCCACAACAUGGGGAAUUUGUACUUUCAGAGAUGUACACUUUGUGUUUCGGGGGGUGAAAAAGUCAAAAUAAUUACCUGCAAUUCAUCUCCUCCUGCUGGUGGCAGUAGUAAAACAAACAUGUCAACCAUGUCGGCAACAGCAAACUCCGACUGCCCCACACCUGGAAUUUUAAAUCACGCGUGUAUAUUGAAACAUUCACGGGAAUUUGACCUCCUCGACUCCCCUGACCACCACCUCCGCUCCAGUUCAUCUGCUCAUACUCGCCAUCACGCACUCAACCUGACCCCGCUCUAACCGCCACCUCUGAACAAUGUAUUAAAUGCCGCUGCCUCGCCUGAAGAGCAAAGCUGGGGUCCGCCCCACCUCUGUCCAGCCCCGCUCCCACCAGCGUGGUCUCUGACUGGAUGGAGAAGGUGAAGACCUGCGCUCUCCCCUCGCUCCCGCUGCUCUUUCUCGGCUCCCCUUUCGUGGGUGAGCAGCUUGAGCGCCUGAUUCCAACCUUAGACCAUGUCUGGCAGCUUCCUUGCCUCCUGAUCCCUCUAUCACCCUGCAAAGCCCACCCGUGGAUCAGUCCUACUGCCCGUGUCUCUCCUCCAUUAAGUGUCCUGGAGAAAUCCCUCAGCUGUGUGGACAGGCGCCACCAGAGGGUCAUGGGCUCCAACAUCGGCUACAUCUUCCUCUUGGUACAGGACAAGCGAUGCCGCUGAACGCCCUCGGGCAGCUUCCUUCCUGUUUCCCACAGUGGCUACUACAGACGUUCACUGUCCCAUAAUCUCCCCACAUGACGAUGAUUGAUGACCGCAGCACCUGCUUCACGACCAAACAGAGGCAAGGAUGUCCUCAGCCUCCCCCCACAACCCCACAGAGAAGCAGAAACAACACACGCUCUGCCCUGCUGCCUCCUUGCCGGGCCCAGUGUCAGAAGCCUCUCCUUCCUUCCCACCUCCCCUGGGCUCCGGCUCUGCUUUAUCUCCAACCUCCCCUUGUCUACAGGCUCCCGUCCCUCAAACAUCCCAUGAGUUGGGCUCAAGUCUUUCUCAUCUGAAAACCAAACACGACCAGAAAAUAAGAAGACAAAAACUCCCAACCUCCUGCCCUCAUCCCCGCAUUUCUCACUUCCUCUUGAUAGCUAAACGUCUGGAAAAAGGCAACUUAUGCCCACUGUCCUCACGCGACUACUUCACAUUAACCGCAAUCCACUUAAAUCUGACUUCCACGUGCCCCACUCCACUAAACCUCCUCUCCAACUCUCUCCUUCCUCGGUGGGGCAGAGACUUCUGGUCGCCCACGCAAUGUUCAUCCUUCCCUAUUUCCUUCCCCCAGGUUCACCAGGGGCAUCAGUGUCCCAGGUGAAAGACCACAUCACCAGACCCCCCAGAGACCCCCCACAUCACCAGUCAGCCAGAGAUGUUAAUGUGUGAAAGCAGAAGUCACUAGAUGGCGUUUCCAGGAGAGUUCUUUCAAGAGGGCAAAGCCAGCCAGGAGGUAUACCGCUUCCGAGCCCUUCCCCUUCCUUAUUCCCCCUUCUUCCUUCCUUCUACCUGGAACAGGGAGGUGAGUUAGAGCUUCAUCAGCCGUCUUUUAUCCAUGGGCAACCUUGAGGCUGGAAACUAAGUGCUAAGAAUGGAGAGCAGGGAGAGCCCCCCACCCCCGGGGCGCUGUAGAACCACCACGACCUCUGGGCCUGCCUGCCUCCAGGCUUCUUUUAUUUACAAAAAAUACAAAUACACAAACAAACAAAACCCACCCUCUUCCUUGUUUGAGUCAGAGAUAGUCUGAGUCUCUGAAACAUGCAGCCAAACACAACUUUCCAUGAAUAUGUGUGAUUUUAUGGUCCUCUUCCCCCUUGAUUCUCCUACCACUACUCAGGCAACUUUUCCUCCAUCUGCCCUUAGACGAUGGACUCCUGGACUCUAGCCCACGUCUUCACUCCCUGCCUUCGUGCUCCAUGCUCUAAGGAUCCUGCGCAAAAUGCAGUGCCCUGACUGGGCCACAUUCGCUCACUCCUGUGUUUCAGUCAAGGCCCAUAAGUAAAGCCCAUACUUUACUUAACUCCAACCCUCCCUUCAAAACUGAGUUCGGGGGCUUCCCUGGUGGCUCAGUGGUUAAGAAUCCGACUGCCAAUGCAGGGGACACAGGUUCGAGCCCUGGUCCGGGAACAUCCCACAUGCCGUGGAGCAACUAAGCCCGUACGCCACAACUACUGAAGCCUGCGCACCUAGAGCCCGUGCUCCGCAACAAGAGAAGCCACUGAAAUGAGAAGCCUGCUCACCGCAACGAAGAGUAGCCCCCGCUCGCCACAUACUAGAGAAAGCCCGUGCACAGCAACAAAGACCCAACGCAGCCAAAAAAAAAAAAACAAAAAAACUGAGUUCAACUGUCACCUCCUCCCUGAAGUCUUCCCUGAUCCCCCAAAUCUGAA